UUGUUAUUCAUCAUGAGAACUUCCGUGGUUGUACUUCUACUGUUGCUGACGCUUACGGCUUCUCAAGCCCAACGGAGCUGUUUGGCACACAAUCAACCAUGUACUGGUGACCCGCCGUGUUGUCAUGGUUACGCCUGUAUCCACCAGGAUGCCGGAUGGAAAUGUGGCUACGCGCAAGACUCAAACAGGCUUACUUAGAUGUAACCGGAAGAAAACAAAAAAUCAUUACCAUUCAUGCUGUAGAUAUUAUGUAAGAUGUAAAUAAAAAAAUAAAAUUCCAUAACAAUGAA